GGGGCUGUACUGGCUUCGACGUAGGUUCGGACGCGCAGUGGGGCAUGCCGAGGUUCAGUUACCUCGUAAAACCGCUGAAAACAAAGUAACUGCAAACGACGAACGUUUCGCACUCGCUGCUUAAAUCCAGCGAGCCUUGCAACAGCAGGCCAACGGGCUGGGCGAGGGUGCCGUAAGGCGUCCUAGCUGCAAGGGAAUUCACGUAGGCUGGCAUCGCGUCGGGUUACUUGGCGCGGUGUGAGACGCAAGGUAACGCAGCCUUUUGAACGAGAACUCAAUCAGUCGGCUAAGCAUGUAGAACCAUUCGAAAAAGGCUUGCGGACGGGGGUUCAACUCCCCCCAGCUCCACCA
rnacentral:tmRNA from 1 species